rnacentral:lncRNA from 1 species
AGAGAGGCAAUGAUAAUGGUACGAUAUCGGCCGAGAAAGGAAUCGGCGACGAAAGCCCCCAGCAGCGGCAGCAGCAUCGCCGCCCCGUUCCAGGCGUUGACAGCUGCCGCGGCGGCGGCCGUGGAUUCUCCCAACGGGCCCGUCAGGUAGGUGAUCAGAUUCGAACUUAUUCCAUAAUACGCAAAUCUCUCUGCUACUUCGACACCUAAUAAUUGAAAUAACAUUAAAUCCCAAAAUUAUAGAUUAUAUUAUUAUUAGAGUUAAUUAUAGUUUAUAGCCAAGGUUCGCGGGCGCCAUUUGUUGCACCAACUUUUAGGCGCAACAUACUCAUGGUUCAUAAUUAAACAAUUUCUUCCGGUUCAGGUCAUACAAAAAAUUAAUACAAAGUGAAAUUUGUUGAAAGUUUAUGCUAUGAAUUGUAAUUAACCCUUACUAAGUUUCAUUAACAAUACCAAUGAUGAAGGAAGCAGAUUUCCAAGAGCCGGAUUUCGAUCGGUGAGCGGGGCCUCCAUCGAAGGCGACGGCACCGGUCACGACGUCACCCAGCAGCGGCGUUGAGUCAUCUCCAGUGGCGGCUUCGGUAGUCAUCAUUCUCUCUCUUUUUCUUGAUAUUUGAAAA